GACGUAGGGUGCAAGCGUUGUCCGGAUUUAUUGGGCGUAAAGAGCUCGUAGGCGGCUUGUUGCGUCGACUGUGAAAACCCGCGGCUUAACCGCGGGCUUGCAGUUGAUACGGGCAGGCUAGAGUUCGGUAGGGGAGACUGGAAUUCCUGGUGUAGCGGUGAAAUGCGCAGAUAUCAGGAAGAACACCCGUGGCGAAAGCGGCUCUCUGGAACGGUACUGACGCUGAGACGCGAAAGCGUGGGGAGCGAACAGG
rnacentral:rRNA from 1 species